UACCAGAGUGGCCCAAGGAAGGGGGCACAUUCACAGGGAAGAGAGUGCAGAGCAGCCAGUAUAGGGGAGAAGACUAAGAGUUCAAUUUGGGGUGAUUACAGCUUGAGGGACUGAAGAGGCAUCCAUCCAGUCAGAAAUGUUAGGCAGCUGGACACAGAUCUCCAGGUUCAAGGUGGAGGUCAGGACUACAGAGGUCAACAGCAUAGAGAUGGAACUUAGCCUCCUGGGUCUGUUGCAUCUGGACAGAUGCUCUCCCCCCCUCAGGUGGCAUUCAUUUCUGUCUGGAUCAAAUUCUGUUCAUCUCCAGUUGUGCAGGAAGUAGAACUUCAAGACCCUGGUUCCGGAAAUCCAUAGCAGACAAACAUCGUCCUACUGUAGCAUUCACCACCUGCAGGAUCCUGCUGCUACUCAGGAGGAAGACAGCAAGACCCCGUCUUGCUGUGGGACCUGAGGAGAAGGAGAGCUGCAGACCAAGGCCGCACAAGGAAAUUGCAUUACAAACUUGCUUGUGUGGAAGAGACCAUCGGAGCAAGCAUUGAAGAAGGCAGACAAUAUGGGGAAGCAGGAAUAUUAUGGGGGUCUAUCUCCCCAUGGUUGUGGCCGUGUCUGGAACUGCUGGUCCUCAUGGUGAAUACGUGGAGGGAGGACAGGAUCCUGCCCAGCUUGGGUGCUAAUGCCUGGCAAGUCCCCCUUCAUCCACCCCACUGGCUUUCACCCUUACUAUUUUCACACAGGUCUGCUUGGACGGAGAAAGCCACAGCUGGUGAGCCUUGGUUGGCUGAGCCAUGUUCAAGACUUUGAUUCUGUUUGUACAUAAAAAUGAGGUUUGAUUGACAUGGAAAUGUCUGAGGGUGACAGUCAUUGUCACUUCUUCCCUCCCCUUCCUUGGUUCUUUUGAAACUGGGAAACUUUUUCAAAUGGAGCCUCUCUCGGAGGCAAAUGGAUGUCUUCUUUCCAUAUGGAGUAGACGUGGCUAUUGUCAUCCCUGGAGAAGGAACUGAGUGUGAAGCCCUCU